UACGUAGGGGGCGAGCGUUGUCCGGAUUUAUUGGGCGUAAAGAGCGUGUAGGCGGUUCGGUAAGUCUGUCGUGAAAUCCUGAGGCUCAACCUCGGGCGUGCGAUGGAUACUGCCGGGCUAGAGGAUGGUAGAGGCGAGUGGAAUUCCCGGUGUAGCGGUGAAAUGCGCAGAGAUCAGGAAGAACACCCAUGGCGAAGGCAGCUCUCUGGGCCUGUACUGACGCUGAGACGCGAAAGCGUGGGGAGCGAACGGG
rnacentral:rRNA from 1 species